CACCGAAACCCGUUUUAUAGCUGUACCUGUCCGUGCUGAGCUGAGUGACGCUGCAGAGUCUUUAUCCAGCGCUUGGGUCAGCAGGCACAGCACCAAGGUCCAGCUGGCUCUGAUCCAGACCUGAGUGACUACCACGUGACCUCCGACCUCCAUGCCUUCACCACGGCCUACAGAUCCACCCUCAACCACAACAGGUCAGAGGACUAGAGUCCAUUCUUCUGGAGACAGUCCGUCUCUCCUGAAGGGCUUUUCCGCUCUCGGCGUGUCCGUCAUCGUCAGCUCACUCGUUCCCAUCAAACGCUCCCACACAGGAGAUGGCACAGCCGGACUUCUCACCCACCUCUGACCUCUACUCCUCCUUCAGUUAUUUCACCCCGUUCACCAUUUACUGUCUGCAGUUUGCUUCUCUAGUUUCAGCUCUGAAGCUAUGAGGCUAA